GGAAUUUUCCGCAAUGGGCGAAAGCCUGACGGAGCAAUACCGCGUGAGGGAAGACUGCCUAUGGGUUGUAAACCUCUUUUUUCAGGGAGGAAUAAAUGACGUGUACCUGAAGAAUAAGCAUCGGCUAACUCCGUGCCAGCAGCCGCGGUAAGACGGAGGAUGCAAGUGUUAUCCGGAAUCACUGGGCGUAAAGCGUCUGUAGGUGGUUGUUUAAGUCAACUGUUAAAUCUUGAGGCUCAACUUCAAAAUCGCAGUCGAAACUAUUCAACUAGAGUAUAGUAGGGGUAAAGGGAAUUUCCAGUGGAGCGGUGAAAUGCGUAGAUAUUGGAAAGAACACCGAUGGCGAAGGCACUUUACUGGGCUAUUACUGACACUCAGAGACGAAAGCUAGGGUAGCAAAUGGGAUUAGAUACCCCUGUAGUC
rnacentral:rRNA from 1 species